UGGUUAGAUUACAAAGGGAUAUUUGGAUAGAAUCUGGAACUUGAAAAGCGGAUAUGGUGUUGGCGUGUCCGUUUCUCAUUCGAAGUUUCUUCACUUCUCUGAUGUCUCCACUCACGACUCUCGAGUCUCGACUUCCCCCAGUUCUCUUGGAAGCAUUUCCAACCAGAGACAAGGAGAGAAUUGUUGAAGCCGUCAAAGAAAUAUACGUCGACAAAUGAAGAUGCCUAAGCAAAGAAAAGGUGGCCAGUAUUUUCAAACUUUGCUUCUGCAGAAAAAUAAUCAGUAAGAUACUUGGAAUAGAUUGGACUACAUUAUCUACCAUAGAACAUAUUACUACUGUAAUCAUUAUUUACAGGAUUUACUUGGAAAGUGAAGCUGUUUUCCUUUUAACCCCAUUGUUUUGCGCUAUAUGAUCGAUGGCUUUGUCUGUUUAGUUAUAUGCUUUGAAAAUAUCUGCUGAAGAAUAAGAAGCCUUUUAGAUAUGGUUUUUGUAAAAAUCAUUGAAUCUCUCAAGUCAAACACUAGAUAUGGCAUAUCUAGAAUUAGAUGACCAGGAAUGUGACAUGAUUCAAAUUAGGG